UACGAAGGGGGCAAGCGUUGUUCGGAUUUAUUGGGCGUACAGGGAGCGUAGGCGGUUGGAUAAGCCCUCCGUGAAAUCUCCAGGCUUAACCUGGAAAGUGCAGAGGGGACUGUUCAGCUAGAGGAUGGGAGAGGAGCGCGGAAUUCCCGGUGUAGCGGUGAAAUGCGUAGAGAUCGGGAGGAAGGCCGGUGGCGAAGGCGGCGCUCUGGAACAUUUCUGAUGCUGAGGCUCGAAAGCGUGGGGAGCAAACAGG
rnacentral:rRNA from 1 species